rnacentral:rRNA from 1 species
UACGGGGGGGGCAAGCGUUGUUUGGAAUUACUGGGCGUAAAGGGCUCGUAGGUGGCCAACUAAGUCAGACGUGAAAUCCCUCGGCUUAACCGGGGAACUGCGUCUGAUACUGGAUGGCUUGAGUUCGGGAGAGGUGAGUGGAACUGCGAGUGUAGAGGUGAAAUUCGUAGAUAUUCGCAAGAACACCAGUGGCGAAGGCGGCUCACUGGCCCGAUACUGACGCUGGUGCACGAAAGCGUGGGGAGCAAACAGG